rnacentral:rRNA from 1 species
GACGAACGCUGGCGGCGUGCUUAACACAUGCAAGUCGAGCGGAGCGGCGAACGGGUGAGUAACGCGUGAGUAACUGCCCCCCUCUCUGGGAUCACAGUUGGAAACGGCUGCUAAUACCGGAUAGUGGGGGAUGACUCGCGUCCUAUCAGCUUGUUGGUGGGGUAGUGGCCUACCAAGGCGACGACGGGUAGCCGGCCUGAGAGGGCGACCGGCCACAUUGGGCUGAGAUACGGCCCAAACUCGUACGGGAGGCAGCAGUGGGGAAUAUUGCACAAUGGGGGAAACCCUGAUGCAGCAACGCGCGUGCGGGAUGACGGGCUGCGGGUUGUAAACCACAUGCAGCCAUUCGGCGGUAGUUGAAGAAGAAGCACCGGCUAACUACGUGCCAGCAGCCGCGGUAAUUC